AUGGGUUCAUAUACACAACAUGAGGACAAGUUGAUUUGCCAAUGUUGGAUGGAGAUUAGCCAAGAUCCGAGGACGUGCGUGUAACAAAAGGGCCUAGUUUUUUGGACGAGAGUCAACAAAACUUUCCAUGAAAGGAAGAUGUUUGAGCCCUACCAAAUCACAAGCAACCGUGGCAUCACCUCGAUUCAAAAGAGGUGGUUUUCAUCCAACAAGAGUGCAAUAAAUAUUGCGCCGCAUUUGAGAGCGUUGAAGCACGACCCGUGA
rnacentral:rRNA from 1 species